GCUGGUAUCAGGUGGGCCACACCAUAUACAGUGGGCCGCACCCUAUAAGAUCAGGUGGGCCAAAUCUGUUUUCCGGCCCAGAUUUCAGGUUCUCUGCUCAUCAGGUGGGCCACCCUCAGAAAUUGGGACGAGCCUGCUGGGGCACUUGUUUGGGGCCUAGCAAACUAGGCCAGUUAAGCCCAGUUCAGAUUGGUUUGUAGAUGGGAACCAGGCCCAGUUUCUGGGCCACCUUUGGAGCCAUUAAGCAAGGCCAAACUCUAGGCCCAAUUUCCCAUAUUAAUGAGCCCUUACAAACCCCACACAAUGUCGAUUAUUUAAGGCCUUGGAUAAGAGUGACUAAUACAAACUAUGACUAUUAGCAUUAGUCUUUACUAUAUUAUCAUUAAUAAACAUUCUAUUAUUAUUACUUGAAUUAUUUAAGAGAUUAUUAGUCAUUAUAAGAAUAUUAGAUAAUGUUGGCAUAUUUAAAUACGAACUUGUGGAUCAUCAUUUUUAAUAUUGACCGGUUAAUAUUUCUACUAUGAAUGAAUAGCUGUCAAUAGACUAUCUACGCUAAUAACAGUCGUUAU